rnacentral:lncRNA from 1 species
GCUCAACAUAUUUAUUAUAAAAAAUGCAAACACCACGGAAAAACAAACAAACGACAGGAACAGAGACGCAGGCUCAACAAAAGCAGUGCUCUCAAACAACUACCCACAAGUGACAAACAAAACACACACCUAUUUAUAGGACUCCCAAUCAGAGGCAACUAGAAACACCUGCCUCCAAUUGAGAGUCCAGCACCCAACCUACACAGAAAAACUACCCUAGAACAUACACAUAGAAAUACAAACAUAGACCAGUGACCAAAAAAAAAACGUAAUACAUAAAUAAACUAUCCUCUGCCACGUCCUGACCAAACUACAAUAACAAAAUAUCCUCUAUACUGGUCAGGAUGUGACAGUGGAUUUGUUAUUCAGUAGGGUUGUGGGAACCCCCUACCAUAUCAGGAGCAAACGACUGAGGCAGUAUGUGGCUAGGUACCAAACCCACUUCACGUUGGUCACAUUUGAGUAUGUCAAACUACAACCAGAUAUCAGUUGUCUGUCCUGGAAUUCACCGAACAAUCAUUGACAAUGUAAUCAGUGCUGUGUGUAUCAACUCUACCUUUUCUACAGAUGAAGGACAGAAGAGAAAGCUUGUCAUGGAGUCCCCUGACUAAAAUAUAGGCUGAUACAGAUGUCUGAACUGAGAGGCCGUGCACUCAUAAAAUUAUUCAAGAUUAGUCUUUUUGUUUUUAUUGAAUCGAAGGGGAACUGUCUUACAGUGAAUAUGGGACAUCAUACGAAGGGAUGACAACUAACAUGUACCACCAGACAAAAUGCUGAUGGGUACCAUAUCUGUAUUGGCUUGUGAAUGACAAUAGAAUAAGAAUAUUAUGCACAUCGUUACAGUACCAGUCAAAAGUUUGGACACCUACUCAGUCAAGGUUUUUUUCUUUAUUUUUACUAUUUUCUACAUUGUAGAAUAAUAGUGAAGAUAAACUAUGAAAUAGCACACAUGGAAUCAUGUACUAACCAAAAAAGUGUUAAACAAAUUAAAAUAUAUUUUGUAUUCUUCAAAGUAGCCACCCUUUGCCUUGACAGCUUUGCACACUCUUGGCAUUCUCUCAACUAGCUUCACCUGGAAUUCUAAAUAAAUCAGUGUCACCAGCAAAGCACCAUCACACCUCCUCCUCUAUGCUUCACGGUGGGAACCAUACAUGCGGAGAUCAUCCGUUCACCUAUUCUGCAUCUCACAAAGACACAGCAGUUGGAACCAAAAAUCUAAAAUUUGGACUCAUCAGACCAAAGGACAGAUUUUCACUGGUCUAAUUUCCAUUACUCGUGUUUCUUGGCCCAAGCAAGUCUCUUCGUCUUAUUGGUGUCCUUUAGUAGUGGUUUCUUUGCAGCAAUUUGACCAUGAAGGCCUGAUUCAUGCAGUCUCCUCUGAACAGUUGAUGUUGAGAUGUGUCUGUUACUUGAACUCUGUGAAGCAUUUAUUUGUGCUGCAAUCUGAGGUGCAGUUAACUCUAAUGAACUUAUCCUCUGCAGCAAAGGUAACUCUGGGCCUUCUUUUCCUGUGGCGGUCCUUGUGAGAGCCAGUUUCAUCAAAGCUCUUGAUGGUUUUUGCGACUGCAAUUUAAGAAACUUUCAAAGUUCUUGAAAUUUACUCACAUUGCCUGACCUUCAUGUCUUAAAGUAAUGAUGGAUUGUCGUUUCUCUUUGCUUAUUUGAGCUGGUCUUGCCAUAAUAUGGAAUUGGUAUUUUACCAAAUAGGGCCAUCUUCUGUAUACCAACACAACUGAUUGGCUCGAACCCAUUAAGAAGGAAAGAAAUUCCACAAAUUGACUUUUAACAAGGCACACCUAAUUAAUUGAAAUGCAUUCCACGUGUCUACCUCAUGAAGCUGGUUGAGAGAAUGCCAAUAGUGUGCAAAGCUGUCAAGGCAAAGGGUGGCUACUUUGAAGAAUACAAAAUAUAUGUUGAUUUGGUUACUACAUGAUUCCAUAUGUGUUAUUUCAUAGUGAUGUCUUCACUAUUAUUCUAAAAUGUAGGAAAUAGUAAAAAUAAAGGAACCCAGGAAUGAGUAGGUGUGUCCAGACUUUUGACUGAUAAUGUAUAUUGGGGACUGGAAAUUAUGCAGACAAUUACAUUGAUAGAUGCCACAAUAUAUCUGCAAUAUUAAAGCUGAGCUAUCCUCUAAAAUAUCAGCUUACAAUAAUUGUACUUCACAAUAGUGUUAUCUAAUUUGUCAAAGUAAGUUACAUUCUGUAUUUGUACAAAUGAUGAGCCUGUGAAAGCUGUUGCCGCUGACAGGUGAAGGUUGCUGGCUGGAUACUUGGCAAUACUGUACCAUUCAUAGGAAUGCUCACAGCAAGUGCAUGUCGGCAUGAUGCUUAUAAGGGCUCCAUUGCUGGUCUUCUCUAUGCUGCAUGUUCUGCUGCAAACUGGACAUAUCUUGAAAAACUGCAGCAGGCAAUCUUAUUAGGUGGUGUUGACUAGGAGGGACUGUGACAGGGUAAUAUAAUAGAUAGCCAAGUGGUAAAUUGCAUUUUGUUCUAAAGAAAGGAUGAAGCUUUUUGCUAAUGCACUUCACAACCAAAAUGACUAGUUGUAUCUGCUUGGCUGGGGAAUAAGCCUACUAGUUUAUCAAGCUGGGUAUUUUUUAAUACAAUUAUUCACGUAACACACUACCUGUCGUUGUUGAUUAAGCCUUCUGUGUCAUCAGGGCAAUACCUCAGGUCAGUAUCAGAGGCCUCAUGAUGGAGAGUCUUUUUCUUAGGAGUUGAGGGACACUGGCAAAAACGGAGGUGGCACAGGGAUACUUGUGUCGCAUGAUACUUUUAUUCUGAGGUCUUGCCUGAUAAGCUGUGAAAAUAACGUUUAGCAGUGAAUUCAAUUAUUUUUGGAGGUCGCUAAACCAUUGCAAACACAUGGCUGGACAUGGUAUGAUACCCACCUUUGUUCUUUCUGCACUCAUUUUUCACGUCAAAAGUCGUCAAGCAAUGAAGUGGCCCUUGAUCCGGCUCGAAGGAAAUGUUUCGGCUGGCGGGUAGAGCGUUGGGCCAGUAACUGAAAGGUUGCUGGAUCAAAUCCCCGAGCUGACAAGACAUCCAACAGGGGGACAGGCUGCACUGAGGGAGGAAGGGAAAGACGAUCGCCAGAGAUGCAGAACAUUCAGGACCAGAUCACUAAGCAUUUCUGUGGUGAAACAGGAACUCCUGAAACAGUAGGUGCCAUUCCUCAAGAGCUACAAACACAUCCAGACAAGCUCCAGAGCCCAGUUCACACUGCCAGGUCCUCAGCUGGUCUCAGGAGCGCUGAUAGACAUGGCCAAACACUUGGGAAACCUGCAGUUCAGAGUCUGGGACAAGAUGCAAGGGAUCAUCAAAUAUACUCCUGUGAGUAUAUAACACUGCAAACCCCUGCCUCUCACUGUCUGAUGAUCUGAGCAGUGUGAAACACCUUACCCCAAAACAUGCAGCUCCCUGACAACCCAGAGAGGAACAGGUUUAAUGCCCAGGUUCUGGCAUCUGAGGGGUUCAGCUGGGAGGUGGUGGGGGACCACCCUCACUGGUAUAUAGGCGUGGCCGAAGAGUCAAUCCACAGGAAUGGGGAAGGAUUUACAACCUGGACUGUACAACUGAGGAAUGGUAACUGUAGAUUUCACUCCAAAGAAGACACCCCAGAGGAUCAGAGUGCAGCUGGAUUAUCAGGGGGAGGUGUCCUUCUACAACACCAAACACAUGACACAUCUACACUCAUAAAGACACGUUUACUGAGAGACUGUUCCCAUACUUCUCUAAUGGAAAGGCUGGUGAUGCCAACCACCCUGAUAUGCAAAUCUGUCAACCAGAGGUGUCUGACAGUAAAUUCAUUUUUCACGCAUCAUGUUCAAAACAUCUAUACCUGACUUUGUUGAGCUUCACAAUAAAUUGUAGAUACUUUUGAAUGAUUUGGAGAUGAUGUGUGAAAAAAUGCUAAUAUUGGUCUUAUGACUUGAAUGGGAUUUGUGCCACAAAUGCUGAAACGUUAGCAUGUGGAAAUGGUGCCAGUGAAACUAAACCAAAACAUGGAUUUGCUGUCAUACCUUGUCCAUAGACUGCUUACAGCAAAAGGAAACCAAUUUGUCAUUUUGUUAUUUGGGUGAACUAUCCCUUUAAAGAUUGAAUCAAUACAUGGGAAGCCUUUGUAUGACAGCUGUCCUGAUUUGCAUCAAACUGAUUUAUACAGACAUUAUUUAACAUAAAUCAACAUCAAACUAUAUACAGUGAGCUCCAAAAGCAUUGGGACAGUGGCACAUUUUUUGUUUUGGCUCUGUACUCCAGCAUGUUGGAUGAUACAAUGAGGUUAAAGUGCAGACUGUCAGCUUUAAUUUGAGGGUAUUUUCGUCCAUAUCGAGUGAACCGUUUAGAAAUUACAGCACUUUUUGUACAUAGUUCCCCAUUUUAGGGGACCAAAAGUAUUGGGAAUUUCACUUAUGUGUAUUAAAGUUAAGUAUUUGGUCCCAUAUUCAUAGCAUGCAAUGACUACAUCAAGCUUGUGACUCUACAAAUUUGUUGGAUGCAUUUGCUGUUUGUUUUGGUUGUGUUUCAGAUUAUUUUGGGCCCAAUAAAAAUGAAUGGUAAAUAUUGUAUUGUCACUUUUAUUGUAAAUAAGAAAGAAUAUGUUUCUAAACACGUCUACAUAAAUGUGGACGCUACCAUGAUUACGGAUAAUUUUGAAUGAAUCGUGAGUAAUGAUGAGUGGCAAAAUUAGACGCACAAAUAUCAUAACCCGAAGACAUGCUAACAUCUCAGCAUUACAAUCAGAGGUUAGCAUAUGUGGUGGUGGGGGGUAAUGAUACUGUAUUUCUGCAUCUAACUUUCUCACUCAUUAGUCACAAUUCAUUCAGAAUGAUCUGUAACCAUGGUAGCAUCCACAUUAAUGUAGAAGGUUUUAGAAACAUUAUUCUUAUUUACAAUAAAAAUGAAUCAAAUGACACAAUACAUUAUUUACCAUUCAUUUCUAACACUUUCUUUUAUUUCAUGUUAGCUUGAGACUCAUAUGGUGAGUGGAGGCUGGCUAACCACAGGGAAAAACAACUUUAUAAGAAUUUUGUUAGUUUUUCCCCAAAGUUACCCAAUUGUGUUUUUCUCUGGGUUGGAAUGGACCAUGUGGAUCAUGCAAGUUGUCAAAUAUAGUAGAGUAGGAGGUUUUCUAAACUCUCUGGUUAAGGUCACUUUGGUUAGAAAUGUGACAAUAGAAUGAAACUGUUCCAGUAUUCUAUCAAGUCAGACACAGCCCUUAGACCACAUCCUGUAACGUGUAAAGGAAGUUAUUUGACAGCAACAUGAUUUACUGUUUAACUGUUGCACACCACAAUCACCUGUAGGCUAUUCAUUGACUGUAAAGACAUAUCUACAAAAUGUUUUAUGUGAUAUUAUUUGUUUUAAAAUUGCUUCAUAUUAUAGCAUGUAUUAUAAACUGGGUGGUUAGAGCCCUGAAUGCUGAUUGGCUGACAGCUGUGGUAUAUCAGACCUUAUACCACAGGUAUGACAAAACAUUUAUUUUUACUGCUCUAAUUAUGUUGAUAACCAGUUUAUAAUAGCAAGAAGGCACCUUGGGGGUUUGUGGUGUAUGGCCAAUAUACCAAUUCUAAGAGCUGUGUCCAGGCACUCGUCUGCUUAAGAACAGCCCUUUAUAACAAAUAUUCAGAUGAAAUAUAUUGUGCUAUUUAUCACACUCUACUUUGUGUCAAAGUUUAACAAGGACUCUCUCCUCACAAGUGUCAUGAUUAAAUAUAUGAUCAAGAGCCUCACAUACAGCAUAUCGUUUGGUUAUUGUGCUGCCACAGAAUGAAUUGUGAUCAAGGCCUCAAAAAAGCUUCAGAGCUGCGAGAAAAUGUCUAUAUAUUAUUGAAACAAUGUUGCGAUUGUUUGUGAGAAUGCCAACAGGUGUGGUUCCCGUGGGGGAAAGAUUCUAUUGGGGAAAGGUUCCCGUGGGGGUUGCCAUGGAAGCCAAGAAGGGGAGUGAGGGGUGUGUGUGUGUGUGUGUGUGCGUGCUCAAACACACAUGCAUGUGGGGGGCUGGGAGAAGAAGUGUGUCCA